rnacentral:lncRNA from 1 species
ACUUCGUCUCUUUCAAAGACCCAUGGAAUAAUUUGAAAAUACUUGUUGCACAGAUAGUACUAAAAUACAGAGAGGAGGCUUAAGGCACAUUGGUGUAACAGGUAAAGAAAUACAGGUGCGGGUUUGUAUAAUCAUGUAUUGGCUAUACCAGUAUCCUCGGAAUAUGACUGCCUGAAAGAGAGAUCAAAGAAACACAUGAGAAAUAUUGGAAUCUAGAAUACACUGGCACAAAAGGGAAAACGGGCCCUAUGGCACUUGAGUAUUACGAGUAGCGCCAGUGCUACGAAGGUGUCUGUGGAUAUUUUUCUUAGAGUUCUGUAUGUACGGGAAAGACGUGCUUCGGGAGUUGAUUCCAUCGACUAGCACUUUUUUAUAAAAAGUUCUAGCCAUCUGCAGAUGCACUCGAUACUCAAGAGUCGCAUCUGCCUCUUGAGUAGAUCUUGCGUGUAUAGCUUUUGGUGGAAUAGUAUGACCCAGUUCGGAAGACAUGAUAGAACUAAUAAAAUAGUCAGGUCCGCCACCUUCCUUAUAUGCGCCAAACUGUCUAAGCUGCUAGUUAUAAGACGUAUGAUACUCUUCUGGAUGGAAACAAGCAACUUCAAAGUGUGUUUGUGUGUAGAGAGCAAUUCUCAAGAGAUGGACGAAUCUGGGCCUUAUAAAGCGUUAAAAGCUGUUGCGCGUUUUCAUUUUAAACAGAGACCCAAGUUUUUGAGAAGCCGCUUUACCUAUUCCUGCUACCUGAUCAUGUCAAAACAUAUUGCUUCCAACCUCGACAACUAACCAGCGAAUUGAAGAAGACAGCAAACAUCCAAAGGUAUUGCACAGAAUUGACCAUAUUUCUCGAUAGCUUCGGCCCAAACAUAGGUGACAUAAGCCAACUAUUGUUUUAUUAUUUAUUAUUUAUAUAUAUUUUUAUUAUAUAUUAGAUUGCCAGUAGACCUGUGUUUUUAAAAACAAACCCGGCGGCGUAUUUACAUACUAUACUACAGCACAGAGCACCAUAGAACUCGGCGGCUCUGCACCGCAGUAUAAUAUGUAGUUGAGAAAUGCGCUUAUUUAUCACUACAUACUAUACUACGCUACAGAGCAUUAGAAAGAAAAAUGUUUUUAUGUGAUUUUUUGGGGCUGUAAAAUUGGUAGUAACAGUGAAUGAAUGUGUAAUUAUUUACGGUAUUAUUAUUAUUGGUUUUUGUUUCAUUUUUGUUGGUGAUUUUAAUUUAGAAGAUGAGGCGUGUUAAAAUAUUUAAUGAAUACAUUAAUGGUACUUUAAAAUUUAAAAAUAAUGUUGUGAAGGUGUGUUGUAUUUUGGGUUUUAGAAUUUCGAUAGUGCUUUAUUUUUAAGUUAGGUUUAUUAUUUUUAUGUAUAUGAAUAAAGUAUGUAUUUGAAUAGGUACAUAUAAAUCAUUGUUAGAUUUUAAUAAGGUGCUACCUAUUUAGUUUAGAUUUAGAAGAUAGGUUUAGAAAUUUAGGGCCUAAUGAAUAAAAAGAAAGGAAUUACCUACUUCUGCUUAAAAUAUGAAAGCAAAACCUGAAGACUUUGCGGAUUAGAAAUGGUAGAAUUAGAUGCAUAUUCUUGUGUGUUAAUGAGACAGAAUGUAUAGGAAUAUACAGGUUAUUAUUUAUUUUCUUUUUAUUUUACUCAUCUACCUAAUAUUGUCUAACAUAGAUUGGACAUAUUACCUAUCUAUAGACAAUAUUACUAAACUUAAGGAGUUUAUACGAACACCACUGUUAAUUAGUAAGAAAAAGCUGUAAGAAAUCAUUCAAUAUUUUAUUAGAUCUAUUUCAUAAAAAAAAAUAAAAGAGAUGAUACCUAGUAUUCAUAACAAAAAGAUUCAAUUCAAUAGUACCUAUCUUAAGAAGAAUUGAAAUAUUUAGUGAUAUAUUGCGGUUUGACGAUUGUAGGGCACAAGUUAAUUUAGUGACCUUGGAGCCUUAACGGAUGGAUAUUUCUAACUAUUAAUCUAUUAUAGAAGUGAUGUUAGAAAUAUCCAUCACACACAAAUGAAAAUAACAGUGAAGAAAAAGAUGACACACUUACGUUUUUUGGUUCAAAAUUUGCCUUCAUAUCUGGAUCUUAUCCAGAUGAUCUAUUUAAGAGAAAAGAAGUUGCGGUAGAACAAUUAAGUCAA